UAAAUAAAUUGGAAAAUUUCUUUGUCUUUUAAUACAUUCAACAAUUAGUUUAUGAGCGAGAGAUUUCUAUCACGCUUACAAAUGGAAAGCGAAUAAUCUUGUUGUUUUAGUAUGAAUCUAUUAGUCGUACAAAACUUCGUGUAAAUAGUCUGCAGAGUAAUUUCGAAACCAACCGCACACCGCUGAGCCACUCACUAUUCACAGCAGAAUAGAUAGCGAUUAGCGUAGCUAAUCAGAGAACGGCAUUCAUAAUAGGAGGCCAGUAGAUAUAUUGAUACAAAAACAAAUAUUACACAGCUCUUGAAUAAAUCCCUCAAGCCGCUUAAUAAAUUCGACGUCAAUAUACGAUGCAAUAAACUAACAUUGGACAUGUUCUAUGUAAAUCAAUUGACAUCUUCCUUGAAAAGUUUCGGCAUCAAUUUCCCCGCUUGCAUGUAAUUAAACGCUUGCCAAUAAGCUGGACUUAGCUGGUUGGGACUCGUCGUGAAAAAAAGAAUAUAUCCGACGAAAAAUCGUUUUGUUUAAUGGGCGCUUUUUUUGCUGGAUCCGGCGAGCCUAAGAGAGCAGAUGGAUGGUGUCAAGAAAAAUACUUGCGGGAGACAGCAACUGUAUUUUGCAUUGUUGAUAGCCACUUUUAUCCUUAUCACUUAUUCAGGCUUCACUCUUACCAGAAAUGCCAGUGAGGGGAAACCUCUCGAUUACCGUGUCACAAACAGAACUGUUCCAC